rnacentral:rRNA from 1 species
UCGCGAAAACUUUGCAAUACACGAAAGUGUGACAGGGCUAUCCCGAGUGCCAUCCGCUGAGGAAGGCUUUUACCCAGUCUAGAAAGCUGGGGGAAUAAGGAGAGGGCAAGUCUGGUGUCAGCCGCCGCGGUAAUACCAGCUCUCCGAGUGGUGUGGAUGUUUAUUGGGCCUAAAGCAUCCGUAGCUGGCUAAGUUAGUCCCUUGUUAAAUCCACCGAAUUAAUCGUUGGAUUGCGGGGGAUACUGCUUAGCUAGGGGACGAGAGAGGCAGACGGUAUUUCCGGGGUAGGGGUGAAAUCCUAUAAUCCCGGGAAGACCACCAGUGGCGAAGGCUGUCUGCUAGAACGCGCCCGACGGUGAGGGAUGAAAGCUGGGGGAGCGAACCGGAUUAGAUACCCGGGUAGUCCCAGCUGUAACGAUGACAAACUAGGUGUUUGAACGGUCCACGUGCCGUUCUAGUGCCGCAGGGAAGCGUAGUUAAGUCUGCCCGCCUGGGGGUAGUACGAUCGCAAGGUUGAAACUUAAGGAAUUGGCGGGGGAGCAACC